rnacentral:rRNA from 1 species
UAGGGAAUUGUGCACAAUGGGCGAAAGCCUGAUGCCGCGACGCCGCGUGGAGGAAGAAGGCCUUCGGGUUGUAAACUUCUUUUAUGAGGGACGAUUAUGACGGUACCUCACGAAUAAGGGGCUGCUAACUACGUGCCAGCAGCAGCGGUAAUACGUAGGCCCCAAGCAUUAUCCGGAAUUAUUGGGCGUAAAGGGCGUGUAGGUGUUCCUACAAGUCGGUCGUUAAAUCUCACCGCCUAACGGUGAGGCCGCGAGCGAAACUGUAGGAAUUGAGGUUUGCAGGGGCAAGUAGAAUUCUUGGAGUAGGGGUGAUAUCCGUUGAUACCAAGAGGAACACCAAUGGCGAAGGCAACUUGCUGGGCAAUACCUGACACUGAGACGCGAAAGCGUGGGGAGCAAA